GGGUGCGAGCGUUGUCCGGAUUUAUUGGGCGUAAAGGGCUCGUAGGUGGUUGAUCGCGUCGGAAGUGUAAUCUUGGGGCUUAACCCUGAGCGUGCUUUCGAUACGGGUUGACUUGAGGAAGGUAGGGGAGAAUGGAAUUCCUGGUGGAGCGGUGGAAUGCGCAGAUAUCAGGAGGAACACCAGUGGCGAAGGCGGUUCUCUGGGCCUUUCCUGACGCUGAGGAGCGAAAGCGUGGGGAGCGAACAGGCUUAGAUACCCUGGUAGUCCACGCUGUAAACGGUGGGUACUAGGUGUGGGGUCCAUUCCACGGGUUCCGUGCCGUAGCUAACGCUUUAAGUACCCCGCCUGGGGAGUACGGCCGCAAGGCUAAAACUCAAAGGAAUUGACGGGGGCCCGCACAAG
rnacentral:rRNA from 1 species